rnacentral:rRNA from 1 species
CCUGAGAAACCCAAAAGAUCGAAUGGGGAGAUUCAGCGUCAGCGUGGCUGGCUUCCGUGCGGCUCGCGAUGGCCGGGACCUCGGUCUCGCGUCACGCGUCCGCUGCGGUAUGUCCGGUCACGUCGGCGUGCACUUCUCCCCUAGUAGGACGUCGCGACCCGUUGGGUGUCGGACCGAUGGCCGUUCGGUCGUCUGUCUCGUCGCGUUCACGCGUGCACGUGGCAGACCGCAAUGGUCGAGCGUCCGGCUGCCCGGCGGUAUAGAACGCUAUUGAACGGUAAUGAGCCGCAUUAAGUGCGUUCAGGCUCGUCGGCAGGCUCGUCUCGCCCGGAUUUACGGACCUAGUGCCGUUGCCGGGUGCUUGGUGGGCCGUUAGUCGAUGAUGUCCUCGGACUGGCUCUACAAUUCGAAAGGAUUACCGGUCGGCGACGCUACUGCUUUGGGUACUUUC